AAUAUUGCACAAUGGACGAAAGUCUGAUGCAGCAACGCCGCGUGAGGGAUGACGGCCUUCGGGUUGUAAACCUCUUUUAGUAAGGAAGAAGCCUUCGGGUGACGGUACUUGCAGAAAAAGCACCGGCUAACUACGUGCCAGCAGCCGCGGUAAUACGUAGGGUGCAAGCGUUGUCCGGAAUUAUUGGGCGUAAAGAGCUCGUAGGCGGUUUGUCGCGUCUGCUGUGAAAUCCCGGGGCUCAACCCCGGGCCUGCAGUGGGUACGGGCAGACUAGAGUGCGGUAGGGGAGAUUGGAAUUCCUGGUGUAGCGGUGGAAUGCGCAGAUAUCAGGAGGAACACCGAUGGCGAAGGCAGAUCUCUGGGCCGUAACUGACGCUGAGGAGCGAAAGCGUGGGGAGCAAACAG
rnacentral:rRNA from 1 species